rnacentral:lncRNA from 1 species
AUGUUGUUAUUAAUUUUCAUCAUUUAAUUCGUGAAUGAGAGUGGCAAAAACGUAAGGUUCAAUGCUAUAGCAAUUAAUUUGUUUAUGUCUUUUUAGCUUCUUAGGUUGGAAUAUUUCUUUUAUUAAUUUUAAUUACAGAAGUACAAAAAUCCUAAAAUCAAAUGUAAUUAAAUUUGACAGAAUAUAAUUUAAAAGAAAAACGAUUAUGUAGUUUUCAUAGUUUAAAAUAAUGCAGUUAACGCCCUGGGUCUCACUAUUUCUAUACCCCUAAAAUCUUAUUUUCACACCCCUAUAUGUAUAAGCCCGUAUAAAGUUAUACGGGUCGUAUAACUGAUUGUUUCACAAAAAAAUGUUAGGGAGUGUUUUUUUGUCCAUGUAUACAGGCCGUAUAAAGUUAUACGACCCGUAUAUAAUGUUAUACGACCUAUAUAAUGUUAUACGACCCAAAUCUCAUGUAAUGUUAUAUGACCAUUAGAAUGUUAUACAACCCGUAUAGAAUGUUAUAAGGCCUAAUAUUUUUUCUAUGACGAGCCAUAUAACAUUAUACGGCUAAAUAUUUGUCAUAUUACAUUAUUCUAUACAGGCCGUAUAACGUUAUACGGGCCGUAUACAAGGUGUGAAAUUAAGAUUUUAGGGUGUGGGAUUAUUAGGACCCUUAUAUAAUACAUGAAAACAAUUCAUUAAAAAUCAAACACAUUCAAAGACUUCAAAUUUUCUUUUAAAAUUUUCAAGUUUUGUUACGAUUUUUGAAAAGUGAUUUUGAAGAUCUUUUUGUGUAAAUGUUUAUAGCAUUCAAAUAAAUAAAACGUAACUACAGUUUCAUAUGUAAUUUAAAAUCAAGUUUCUUAACUUUUUAACUUCUAACCUUUUAAACAUAGAGGUUGAAAAAGUAAGAAGUGUUUUAUAUAAAACAUGUUGUGAACAUUUAUAAUUUUAUAAAAGUGACCUAAACCUUUUUAUAAAUAUAUACCAACAAAUAAAAGGAUAUAUUAAUUUGAACUUUAUCAACAAACAAAAGAAUAAAUAAAAAUAUAAUUAUCUACUUAUUACAAUUCAAGAUUAAUAAGUUUUCUUUUUUCAAUUUCU